GUCCCCAUAGUUUAGCUGGAUAAAACAGUGGAUUCCUAAUCCUCAGAUCCAGGUUCGAGUCCUGGUGGGGACACCA
rnacentral:tRNA from 1 species